UACGAAGGGGGCUAGCGUUGCUCGGAAUGACUGGGCGUAAAGGGCGCGCAGGCGGCUAUCCAAGUCCGUGGUGAAAGCCCGGAGCUCAACUCCGGAACUGCCAUUGAAACUGUUUAGCUUGAGGAUGAGAGAGGUGAGUGGAAUUCCCAGUGUAGAGGUGAAAUUCGUAGAUAUUGGGAAGAACACCGGUGGCGAAGGCGGCUCACUGGCUCAUUACUGACGCUCAGGCGCGAUAGCGUGGGGAUCAAACAGG
rnacentral:rRNA from 1 species